rnacentral:rRNA from 1 species
GACGAACGCUGGCGGCGUGCUUAACACAUGCAAGUCGAACGGAAAGGCCCUGCUUGCAGGGUACUCGAGUGGCGAACGGGUGAGUAACACGUGGGUGAUCUGCCCUGCACUUCGGGAUAAGCCUGGGAAACUGGGUCUAAUACCGGAUAGGAGCCAUUUUUAGUGUGAUGGUUGGAAAGUUUUUUCGGUGUAGGAUGAGCUCGCGGCCUAUCAGCUUGUUGGUGGGGUAAGGGCCUACCAAGGCGGCGACGGGUAGCCGGCCUGAGAGGGUGGACGGCAACAUUGGGACUGAGAUACGGCCCAGACUCCUACGGGAGGCAGCAGUGGGGGAUAUUGCACAAUGGGCGCAAGCCUGAUGCAGCGACGCCGCGUGGGGGAUGACGGCCUUCGGGUUGUAAUCUCCUUUCGCUAGGGACGAAGCUUUUUGUGACGGUACCUAGAUAAGAAGCACCGGCUAACUACGUG